UCUCUCUCUCUCUUGCAUUCAGCAGUUACCUUGGGUUAUGGAAGUUACCUGUGGGUUAUGGAAGCAGAAAAACAUCCACUAUAAUCCAGCAAGUUUGCAGGCCAAAUGGCUCUCUGAAUAUGAGCCCACAAAGUGCUGAAUGAGACAGCAUGCUGCUCUGGGAGAUUCCAGCACAGCUAGCCAGAAGGGCCUGGCUGGAAAUUUUGGAAGGGAAUGCAUCUGCCAAGACAACUUCUGCCAAAGCAACUCUUCCCACUCUUUUGGCCAAGAUUGCAUGGACCUUCAAGACCUUGAAGUGUUGUACCUCUGUUGUCAGAGCAAUUCCACGAGUCCAAGAUAAGGAAUAAGAGCUAAAGUCUUAAUCCAAUAUUAGCCUACAGAAAUGCUACAAAUUCUAAUAUAUACAUCUAUUUCUGGUAUAUCUAGCUUGACAGAAAUCUCUCAGAAUACUUGUUAUAAAUUCCUUGAGGGGAUAUACUUCUAAUAUUGAUAGAAGUACUCACUAGUGUCCAUUGUACAAUGCAUCUCUAAGUAGUCUUUAAGUGGCUUAUAUAAAUACUUGAUUAAGCUAUGCUUCUCCUUAAUAAUCACUCUUGUGAGCACAGACUGUGAUGGCGUUUUAUCUGUUGAAUUAUAAUUAAGACUUACUUUGAAAUAAUUGCUUGUAUCUCCACUUAUCUAGGUGCUAUAUCUUGCUGAUAUGAAGCUGGUGUUUCUGUAUUACCAUGCGAAAGGCUGCUUUCAGACCUAAGGACAUAGGUGUAAAUCAAAAAAUUGACACAUAGUUAUCAGAGGUAAGAAUUCAAAAUUUACUUAAGAAAUCAUAGAAAAGCUUAGGUUGAAAAGAACUCCUAGAGGUCAUCUAAUCUACCCACAGUGUAAGGAAUUAUCAAUGAAAAUAUACAAUAUUCUCUGCACUGAGUAAAGAAAAAAGGUUUUUUUUUUUUUUUUUCUUCUAUAACUAGAACUGGAUUUGUCUAUCCAGAUGGUCAGAAGGUCAAAAUGUUUUGAUAGGCAUUUGAGCUUUUUAAUAAAUACAUUUGUGACUCUUGCA
rnacentral:lncRNA from 1 species